rnacentral:rRNA from 1 species
UACGGAGGGGGCGAGCGUUAUUCGGAAUUAUUGGGCGUAAAGGGCGCGUAGGCGGCUGGGCAAGUCAAAGGUGAAAUCCCUCGGCUCAACUGAGGAACUGCCUUUGAAACUGCCUGGCUUGAGGCCGGGAGGGGUAGCGGAAUUCCCAGUGUAGCGGUGAAAUGCGUAGAUAUUGGGAGGAACACCAGUGGCGAAGGCGGCUACCUGGACCGGUUCUGACGCUGAUGCGCGAAAGCGUGGGUAGCAAACAGG